UACAGAGGUCUCAAGCGUUGUUCGGAGUUACUGGGCGUAAAGGGUGCGCAGGCCGCGCGGGCAGUCAAAUGUGUAAUUCAGGGGCUCAACCCCUGCACUGCGCUUGAUACUUCCGCGCUCGAACCUUGGAGAGGAGUCUGGAAUUCUCGGUGUAGCAGUGAAAUGCGUGGAUAUCGAGAAGAACACUUAGGGCGAAAGCAAGACUCUGGACAAGUGUUGACGCUCAUGCACGAAGGCUAGGGUAGCGAACGGG
rnacentral:rRNA from 1 species